UAAUCGGAACAGUGAAAGAAAAGGGGGUACAUUAGGCCAUGAUCGUCGGUCAACAACGAUCCACGAGACGAUCUCUCUCCAACGCGGACAUCACCUCGGGUUAGUUUAACGAUCACACGUUGGUGGGCAAUCACCCUCUCUUCGACUAUUGUCCACGGAAUAGACGAAGAGCAACGGGCGUUUAACAGUGCCUCAGUUUCAAGAAAAUCAAUAUCCCAUGGCCACACGCACAGUCGACAAUGUGCAUAUAGAGUUUGCUGUGACGUCACGUCACAGAUCCCAACUACAGUUCGAAUAAGUUUUUCCGUCUCGACAUACUGCGGCUACUCUGGCUACCCCAACAUUGUCCCACAUUUCAUACGAUACCAGAAAACGCGAAUCAAUCAUUCGCGAAUGCGUGCGUUGACGUGAUAGAAGUUGAUUCAAUCUUGGUUACAUUCUAACGGCGAACGAUAUGAUCCACUGAUUUAUUCUCAAAACUCUUUUAAUCGAGUCUAGACACGACAUUACACGCGGUACGAUCGACCUUACUUGUAAUGGAAAAUUUGGCUCACAAUUACGGUCUACUCUACUUAUUGACGAGGGUGGGUUAUCUCUCGAUUGUUAAAAUCUAGAUUAGAAAUCGAUCAGUUUUGUCUAUUUUGGUUCCUCCUUUUUCCCUGCAUCGUCAUCGAUCAAUAACAUGGGUCUUAUCUAUUUUUUCAAAAAUUU
rnacentral:misc_RNA from 1 species